GAUGAACGCUGGCGGCGUGCCUAAUACAUGCAAGUCGAGCGACCAGACGAGGAGCUUGCUCCUCUAACGUUAGCGGCGGACGGGUGAGUAACACGUGGAUAACCUUCCUAUAAUACUGGGAUAACUUCGGGAAACCGGAGCUAAUACCGGAUAAUAUAUUCAACCGCAUGAUUCAAUAGUGAAAGACGCUUUUGCUGUCACUUAUAGAUGGUUCCGCGCCGCAUUAGCUAGUUGGUAAGGUAACGGCUUACCAAGGCGACGAUGCGUAGCCGACCUGAGAGGAUGAUCGGCCACACUGGAACUGAGACACGGUCCAGACUCCUACGGGAGGCAGCAGUAGGGAAUCUUCCGCAAUGGGCGAAAGCCUGACGGAGCAACACCGCGUGAGUGAUGAAGGUCUUCGGAUCGUAAAACUCUGUUGUUAGGGAAGAACAAAUGUGUAAGUAACUAUGCACGUCUUGACGGUACCUAAUCAGAAAGCAACGGCUAACUACGUG
rnacentral:rRNA from 1 species